rnacentral:misc_RNA from 1 species
CCAAACUUGGUCAUUUAGAGGAAGUAAAAGUCGUAACAAGGUCUCCGUUGGUGAACCAGCGGAGGGAUCAUUAUAGAGUCUCUGAACUCCCAAACCUUUGUGAACAUACCACUGUUGCUUCGGCGGACGCGCCGGGUGCUCCCCGCGAGCGUCCCGGGACCAACGCGGCCGCCGAGGGUAUCAAACUCUUGUCUUUAUAUCGGACUUCUGAGUAACAAACAAAAAUAAAUUAAAACUUUCAGCAACGGAUCUCUUGGCUCUGGCAUCGAUGAAGAACGCAGC